rnacentral:rRNA from 1 species
AGCGAACGCUGGCGGCAGGCUUAACACAUGCAAGUCGAACGGUCCUUCGGGAUAGUGGCGGACGGGUGAGUAACACGUGGGAACGUACCCUUAGGUUCGGAACAACACAGGGAAACUUGUGCUAAUACCGGAUAAGCCCUUCGGGGGAAAGAUUUAUCGCCUUUGGAGCGGCCCGCGUCUGAUUAGCUUGUUGGUGAGGUAAUGGCUCACCAAGGCUACGAUCAGUAGCUGGUCUGAGAGGAUGGCCAGCCACACUGGGACUGAGACACGGCCCAGACUCCUACGGGAGGCAGCAGUGGGGAAUCUUGCGCAAUGGGCGAAAGCCUGACGCAGCCGUGCCGCGUGGAUGAUGAAAGUCUUAGGAUUGUAAAAUCCUUUCACCGGGGACGAUAAUGACGGUACCCGGAGAAGAAGCCCCGGCUAACUUCGUGCCAGCAGCCGCCGUAA